rnacentral:rRNA from 1 species
GUGGAAGCGUCUGGAAAGGCGCGCGAUACAGGGUGACAGCCCCGUACACAAAAAUGCACAUGCUGUGAGCUCGAUGAGUAGGGCGGGACACGUGGUAUCCUGUCUGAAUAUGGGGGGACCAUCCUCCAAGGCUAAAUACUCCUGACUGACCGAUAGUGAACCAGUACCGUGAGGGAAAGGCGAAAAGAACCCCGGCGAGGGGAGUGAAAAAGAACCUGAAACCGUGUACGUACAAGCAGUGGGAGCACCUUCGGGUGUGACUGCGUACCUUUUGUAUAAUGGGUCAGCGACUUAUAUUCUGUAGCAAGGUUAACCGUAUAGGGGAGCCGAAGGGAAACCGAGUCUUAACUGGGCGUUAAGUUGCAGGGUAUAGACCCGAAACCCGGUGAUCUAGCCAUGGGCAGGUUGAAGGUUGGGUAACACUAACUGGAGGACCGAACCGACUAAUGUUGAAAAAUUAGCGGAUGACUUGUGGCUGGGGGUGAAAGGCCAAUCAAACCGGGAGAUAGCUGGUUCUCCCCGAAAGCUAUUUAGGUAGCGCCUCGUGAAUUCAUCUCCGGGGGUAGAGCACUGUUUCGGCAAGGGGGUCAUCCCGACUUACCAACCCGAUGCAAACUGCGAAUACCGGAGAAUGUUAUCACGGGAGACACACGGCGGGUGCUAACGUCCGUCGUGAAGAGGGAAACAACCCAGACCGCCAGCUAAGGUCCCAAAGUCAUGGUUAAGUGGGAAACGAUGUGGGAAGGCACAGACAGCCAGGAUGUUGGCUUAGAAGCAGCCAUCAUUUAAAGAAAGCGUAAUAGCUCACUGGUCGAGUCGGCCUGCGCGGAAGAUGUAACGGGGCUAAACCAUGCACCGAAGCUGCGGCAGCGACGCUUAUGCGUUGUUGGGUAGGGGAGCGUUCUGUAAGCCUGCGAAGGUGUGCUGUGAGGCAUGCUGGAGGUAUCAGAAGUGCGAAUGCUGACAUAAGUAACGAUAAAGCGGGUGAAAAGCCCGCUCGCCGGAAGACCAAGGGUUCCUGUCCAACGUUAAUCGGGGCAGGGUGAGUCGACCCCUAAGGCGAGGCCGAAAGGCGUAGUCGAUGGGAAACAGGUUAAUAUUCCUGUACUUGGUGUUACUGCGAAGGGGGGACGGAGAAGGCUAUGUUAGCCGGGCGACGGUUGUCCCGGUUUAAGCGUGUAGGCUGGUUUUCCAGGCAAAUCCGGAAAAUCAAGGCUGAGGCGUGAUGACGAGGCACUACGGUGCUGAAGCAACAAAUGCCCUGCUUCCAGGAAAAGCCUCUAAGCAUCAGGUAACAUCAAAUCGUACCCCAAACCGACACAGGUGGUCAGGUAGAGAAUACCAAGGCGCUUGAGAGAACUCGGGUGAAGGAACUAGGCAAAAUGGUGCCGUAACUUCGGGAGAAGGCACGCUGAUAUGUAGGUGAAGUCCCUCGCGGAUGGAGCUGAAAUCAGUCGAAGAUACCAGCUGGCUGCAACUGUUUAUUAAAAACACAGCACUGUGCAAACACGAAAGUGGACGUAUACGGUGUGACGCCUGCCCGGUGCCGGAAGGUUAAUUGAUGGGGUUAGCGGUAACGCGAAGCUCUUGAUCGAAGCCCCGGUAAACGGCGGCCGUAACUAUAACGGUCCUAAGGUAGCGAAAUUCCUUGUCGGGUAAGUUCCGACCUGCACGAAUGGCGUAAUGAUGGCCAGGCUGUCUCCACCCGAGACUCAGUGAAAUUGAACUCGCUGUGAAGAUGCAGUGUACCCGCGGCAAGACGGAAAGACCCCGUGAACCUUUACUAUAGCUUGACACUGAACAUUGAGCCUUGAUGUGUAGGAUAGGUGGGAGGCUUUGAAGUGUGGACGCCAGUCUGCAUGGAGCCGACCUUGAAAUACCACCCUUUAAUGUUUGAUGUUCUAACGUUGGCCCCUAAUCGGGGUUGCGGACAGUGUCUGGUGGGUAGUUUGACUGGGGCGGUCUCCUCCUAAAGAGUAACGGAGGAGCACGAAGGUUGGCUAAUCCUGGUCGGACAUCAGGAGGUUAGUGCAAUGGCAUAAGCCAGCUUGACUGCGAGCGUGACGGCGCGAGCAGGUGCGAAAGCAGGUCAUAGUGAUCCGGUGGUUCUGAAUGGAAGGGCCAUCGCUCAACGGAUAAAAGGUACUCCGGGGAUAACAGGCUGAUACCGCCCAAGAGUUCAUAUCGACGGCGGUGUUUGGCACCUCGAUGUCGGCUCAUCACAUCCUGGGGCUGAAGUAGGUCCCAAGGGUAUGGCUGUUCGCCAUUUAAAGUGGUACGCGAGCUGGGUUUAGAACGUCGUGAGACAGUUCGGUCCCUAUCUGCCGUGGGCGCUGGAGAAUUGAGGGGGGCUGCUCCUAGUACGAGAGGACCGGAGUGGACGCAUCACUGGUGUUCGGGUUGUCAUGCCAAUGGCACUGCCCGGUAGCUAAAUGCGGAAGAGAUAAGUGCUGAAAGCAUCUAAGCACGAAACUUGCCCCGAGAUGAGUUCUCCCUGAGACUUUAAGUCUCCUGAAGGAACGUUGAAGACGACGACGUUGAUAGGCCGGGUGUGUAAGCGCAGCGAUGCGUUGAGCUAACCGGUACUAAUGAACCGUGAGGCUUAACCUU